GGGGCUGAUUGGCUUUCGACAGGAGCAAAGAGGCUUAGGUGCAUGUGAGCUGGUAAGCUCUAAAACUACCACAAUUCAUAAACGCAAACAAUACAAAUUACGCUCCAGCUUACGCAAAAGUAGCGUAAGUUAAUCGCUUUUGGAGCCGGUUUAAGACAUUCUAUUCUAGCUAGAAUCUUAAGCUGUCAUUCCCUGCUAGAUGCUCUCCUUUCCACACCUUGAGUAAGGAGAAAAGAUUUAGGUUGCUUGUGGAUUCUGCCUUGGGGUGUUGGGUAGCCACAAAAAGAUGUCAAUGCCUACUAAACAUGUAGAUUCUUAAGAUUAUCUUACUUUUGGACUGGGGUUCAACUCCCCACAGCUCCACCA
rfam:Helicobacter cinaedi CCTG 18818 = ATCC BAA-847 DNA, complete genome.